rnacentral:misc_RNA from 1 species
AACGCACAUUGCACCUGGUGGUAUUCCGCCAGGUAUGCCUGUUUGAGCGUCAUUUCUCUCUCACUCCGGUGGUUUUGCUGUCUAUCAUUCUUUCGGGAAUGUGCAGUGAAAAGAAAUGGCAAGGCUCUAGUUCUUACGAAAUGUUUUAGGUUCUACCAACUACAUUCUCUAAGUUCUAAUCAAGUCGGCUUGAUAAUUCUUUCAAUGUUGACCUCAAAUCAGGUAAGACUACCCGCUGAACUUAA